CGGCGAGUGAAGCGGCAACAGCUCAAAUUUGAAAUCUGGCUCUCGGGCCCGAGUUGUAAUUUGUAGAGGAUACUUUUGAUGCGGUGCCUUCCGAGUUCCCUGGAACGGGACGCCAUAGAGGGUGAGAGCCCCGUCUGGUUGGAUGCCAAAUCUCUGUAAAGUUCCUUCAACGAGUCGAGUAGUUUGGGAAUGCUGCUCUAAAUGGGAGGUAUAUGUCUUCUAAAGCUAAAUACCGGCCAGAGACCGAUAGCGCACAAGUAGAGUGAUCGAAAGAUGAAAAGCACUUUGAAAAGAGAGUUAAAAAGUACGUGAAAUUGUUGAAAGGGAAGCGUUUAUGACCAGACUUGGGCUUGGUUAAUCAUCUGGGGUUCUCCCCAGUGCACUUUUCCAGUCCAGGCCAGCAUCAGUUUUCCCCGGGGGAUAAAGGCGGCGGGAAUGUGGCUCUCUUCGGGGAGUGUUAUAGCCCACCGUGUAAUACCCUGGGGGGGACUGAGGUUCGCGCAUCUGCAAGGAUGCUGGCGUAAUGGUCAUCAACGAC
rnacentral:rRNA from 1 species